rnacentral:pre_miRNA from 1 species
AUAGUACCCCCUCCGUCCCAAAAUUCUUGUCUUAGAUUUGUCUAGAUACGGAUGUAUCAAGUCACAUUUUAGUAUUAGAUACAUCCGUAUCUAGACAAAUCUAAGACAAGAAAUUUGGGACAGAGGGAGUAGUUG